rnacentral:lncRNA from 1 species
AGGAGAAAGAGAGUAAAGGAAUUAGGCACAAAGGCUAUUUUCAGCAUCUUGAAGCCUGUAACAUCAGUGGAAUUCAGAGAACUAGUAUGAAGCCUAAGUUGCCGGUGGAGAGAGAUAAGUACCUCAAACACAUGUUUCAAGGUCCUGUCUUGUUUUUGUGCAAGUUUUUUCCCACAUAGGAUUGAGCCUUCUGUGGAGCUCUGACGCAUGGACUUUUGGUCUGGCUGGUGUCCUUGCCCCGUUGGUUGUUGAAGCCUGUUUAUUUCAGCCUGCCUUGUUUUGCGAGAGCUCAUUUGCUUGAGCUCUCAACAGGAGCCGAGGUACAGUUUCAGAGCAUUCAUGGAUCUCUCAUAAUCGUUCAAGACAUCAUCAUUCUGGUGCAGCCCUUCCCCAACAGGCAGCGAGAUUACCAGGUCUUUGUAUAACACACGUAAUAUAAAUUCUGCCUCAUGCCCUGGGACUGCCUACAGGCAGUGAAGGGAGCUUCGGCUGGAGCCUGGAACGAGCCACCAGCCCCUCACGGCUGCAGCGGACGG